rnacentral:rRNA from 1 species
AUUGAACGCUGGCGGCAGGCUUAACACAUGCAAGUCGAGCGGUAGCACAAGAGAGCUUGCUCUCUGGGUGACGAGCGGCGGACGGGUGAGUAAUGUCUGGGAAACUGCCUGAUGGAGGGGGAUAACUACUGGAAACGGUAGCUAAUACCGCAUAACGUCGCAAGACCAAAGAGGGGGACCUUCGGGCCUCUUGCCAUCAGAUGUGCCCAGAUGGGAUUAGCUAGUAGGUGGGGUAAUGGCUCACCUAGGCGACGAUCCCUAGCUGGUCUGAGAGGAUGACCAGCCACACUGGAACUGAGACACGGUCCAGACUCCUACGGGAGGCAGCAGUGGGGAAUAUUGCACAAUGGGCGCAAGCCUGAUGCAGCCAUGCCGCGUGUGUGAAGAAGGCCUUCGGGUUGUAAAGCACUUUCAGCGAGGAGGAAGGUGGGGAACUUAAUACGUUCAUCAAUUGACGUUACUCGCAGAAGAAGCACCGGCUAACUCCGUG